rnacentral:rRNA from 1 species
GACGAACCGUGCGAACGUUGUUCGGAUUCACUGGGCUUAAAGGGCGCGUAGGCGGGCCAUCAAGUCAGGGGUGAAAUCUUUCGGCUCAACCGGAAAAGUGCCUUUGAUACUGGUGGUCUCGAGGGAGGUAGGGGCAUGCGGAACUUCCGGUGGAGCGGUGAAAUGCGUAGAUAUCGGAAGGAACGCCGGUGGCGAAAGCGGCGUGCUGGACCUCUUCUGACGCUGAGGCGCGAAAGCUGAGGGGAGCAAACGGGG